UUGGUUUUGUUUUUUUAAAGGGCAUGCCUGGAGACUACUCCACCUACAUAAAAGAAAGUCAGCAGGAGCCGAACAGUAACGGCAGCUGGUUAUUUACUUCAUUCUGAAAACGUUUGCUGCAAUGUUAGCUAAAAGUGGUUUGACGUGACACAGCAAUAAUUCUUCAUCACACAGAAGUCAGUUCCAUCUUUUUUCAGGCUAGUUUGUUUGCUGAGCAGGAGGCUAUGCUGACUUAGAGCGUUGCCUGUGAAGAGACUCACAGGAUCUCUCAGGAAUGCGGGGGAGAAACUGCCAGACCUAGAAGUGACAGAACACAGAUGAGCAGUUGGAUAUGGGGCAAUCACCCCAUGAUUAUGAGGUGACUGCAGGUGUUCCCUGGUACUCCGGACACGCACACUGCUCCAUUUGAUUCUCACUGUGAAGUCCUGCAUCUGCUCCUUCCUACACGAGACCUGGGACUCAAAACUACAUCACUGUCUGAAGCCAAACAUCUGGCAAGAGAUGGCUCAGGUUGGACCCAGGACCUCUCUUCAGAGCCAGCACCCUGGUGUAACUCAACACACUAAAGUGUAUCUUAUCACAUAAAUUACAAU